rnacentral:rRNA from 1 species
UUCUGGGAAGAUUGACAGGUUGAGAGCUCUUUCUUGAUUCGGUGGAUGGUGGUGCAUGUCCGCUCUUAGUUGGUGGAGCGAUUUGUCUGGUUAAUUCCGAUAACGAACAAGACUCUACUCUACUAAAUAGGUGCGUGGUUCUCUGCCCCUUGCGCUCAUCUCAAAGGGACAAGCGGCCCCUAGCCGCACGAAAGAGAGAAAUAACAGGUUUGUGAUGCCCUUAGAU